rnacentral:misc_RNA from 1 species
GAUGAAGAACGCAGCGAAAUGCGAUAAGUAGUGUGAAUUGCAGAAUUCAGUGAAUCAUCGAAUCUUUGAACGCACAUUGCGCCCUUUGGUAUUCCUUAGGGCAUGCCUGUUCGAGCGUCAUUUAAACCUUCAAGCUAAGCUUGGUGUUGGGUGACUGUCCGCUUCACUGCGGACUCGCCUCAAAAUUAUUGGCGGCCGGUACAUUGGCUUCGAGCGCAGCAGAAACGCGAACUCGGGCCCGUCGUAUUGGCUCCCAGAAGCUAUCUUCACAAUUUUGACCUCGGAUCAGGUAGGGAUACCCGCUGAACUUAAGCAUAUCAAUAAGCGGAGGA